rnacentral:rRNA from 1 species
CUGCUGCCUUCCGUAGGAGUCUGGUCCGUGUCUCAGUACCAGUGUGGGGGACCUUCCUCUCAGAACCCCUACGCAUCGUCGGUUAGGUGGGCCGUUACCCCGCCUACUGCCUAAUGCGCCGCAUGCCAUCCCUGUCCGGCCGAAGCCUUUCCUGCCUCCGGGAUGCCCCGGUGGCAUGUACGCGGGUUUAGCCCGCCUUUCGGCGGGUUGUCCCCCUGACAGGGGCAGGUUGCAUACGUGUUACUCACCCGUGCGCCGGUCGCCGGCGGAGAAA